CUUUGUUUGCAUUCUGGUUGGCUGACGACAGCUUUCAGCUGCACCUGAACUAGGCUGGAUUUGUCUCCUGCUCUCCAUAGGCAGAGAAGUGCGUCCAGGCAGUUUGGAGAACUGCUGGCUCAGGCUUCACCUCCACUAAUCCAAGUUCAGUCACUUUCCUCUGAAGAACCUGCAUCAAGCCGUGGUUUUAAGCUGCAGAUGGAGUUCUUCUCGCAGGACUGAAGUGCUGAAGCUCUCUGAGCUCCGAAGGCACCCUGAACUCAUUCAAGAUGUGGCCGUUGUAUGAAGUAAGUUUGUGGUUGCUGUGAAGCUGGGAGGAAUGUUGACUGCCUUGGGGGUUGAGAGGCCUUGCAGCAAGAUGUGGAGAAAUGUGAGGGUGGUCCCCAUCUGCACGAAGAAGAGCAAGCGCUGCGUUCUGCACCUGGGAUGCGGCAGCCCUGGCUAAUGUCUGCGUGUGGAUGAAUCACAACAGGAUCCUGGGAACUUUUAAGAAAGGAAAGAUUGCUUCACGUGUAAUGAAAAGCUAGUGUCCAGAAGAUCACUGCGGCCAGAUGCCAAUUUUGAUGCCCUCGUCAGUAAGACUUGUCCAAGCCCUGAUGUAUGUGAAACUCAUCAGGAGGGAAUGCUGGCAAGAAUCAGCUAACACAAUAGCAGCAAGCUUCAGUGACAGCGUUAAGGAAGGGUGACGAUUCAGGCUGGGAGCAGGUGUAUGGGAACUGUAUAAUCACAGCCUGACCCUCUGUUUGACCACCUGAGGCGAGUGCUGAGUCAGCUGCAGGGGCACAGGUGAUGGCAGUUUCAGCUGAGUGACCGGAAGGGGUGGACCCUGGCUGCAGCCCUGCUAGACCCCAUGUAAGGGCUGACUCCCAAGGAGGAAGGAUCUCUCUCUGGAGGUCACCCUUAGUGGAGCCCUUCUGCGCGCCCAGGGUACGGAACAAGAUUUGAUGAGGAGGAAAGCCUGUGAAGUCCAAAAAGACUGCUUUCAUCCUUCCUUCCCGUUUGUGUUAGCUGGCUGUCACGGAGUUAUCUAGAUCUGUGUAUGCCUGUGGCGGGGCAGUGGGCCUGUUUUCCUGUGUUUGGCUUCCUUGCUUUGCCAUGAUGCUGUCUUGAGUUCAUGUGCUGGACUCUUGUAUUUCGUGUCUUUGUUUUGCUUUGCUCUGUUUUCCUUGUUGUUUGCCGUUCUUUUGUCAGUCUUGCUUUAUUGCUGCUCCUGUGUUGCAAUACCUUUGUUUUGUUCAGAUGUGGUGAUGGAUACUUUUUCCUUUCCCGUUCUUGGAACUCUUUUCUCCCUCCUUCAGGGUGUUCCUCUUUGUUUCUCGGCUUUUCAGGUGAUUUUGCUUUGCCUUCCUUGGCUUUUUGGUCCUUCCUCUUUUGGUUCUUGUUCCUGGAUUUGAUUUGCUUUCCUUUUGUAUAUUUGCCUUGCAUUGCUUGUGAAUUUCCCUUCUUUUCUGUGCUAAGCACUGUGCGAAGUUUAGGGGUGGGAAAAGGUACCGAGGUGCAUGGAUAUGGAGAAGAGAAGCUCUCCUGCUGUGGCUGAGAGGUGAUACAAAGGAGGCCUCCCGAGCAAGCACCACAAAGGCAGCUUGCUUCUCCAGAGGCUGCAGCAUAAGCUCGUGUUCCUUGUGGAGGACUGCGUUGUGCAUCUGCAGGAGCUGCUUUGGCCUGGAGGAUUUUGUGGAGUUGCUGCCAGUCGUUGCUCGGAUGAAGUGAGGCUUUUGUCCUUGUAUCUGUGCAG
ensembl:lncRNA